GCCACAUCCCGGCAGCCCUCCUACCUGCGCACGUGGUGCCGCCGCUGCUGCCUCCCGCUCGCCCUGAACCCAGUGCCUGCAGCCAUGGCUCCCGGCCAGCUCGCCUUAUUUAGUGUCUCUGACAAAACCGGCCUUGUGGAAUUUGCAAGAAACCUGACCGCUCUUGGUUUGAAUCUGGUCGCUUCCGGAGGGACUGCAAAAGCUCUCAGGGAUGCUGGUCUGGCAGUCAGAGAUGUCUCUGAGUUGACGGGAUUUCCUGAAAUGUUGGGGGGACGUGUGAAAACUUUGCAUCCUGCAGUCCAUGCUGGAAUCCUAGCUCGUAAUAUUCCAGAAGAUAAUGCUGACAUGGCCAGACUUGAUUUCAAUCUUAUAAGAGUUGUUGCCUGCAAUCUCUAUCCCUUUGUAAAGACAGUGGCUUCUCCAGGUGUAACUGUUGAGGAGGCUGUGGAGCAAAUUGACAUUGGUGGAGUAACCUUACUGAGAGCUGCAGCCAAAAACCACGCUCGAGUGACAGUGGUGUGUGAACCAGAGGACUAUGUGGUGGUGUCCACGGAGAUGCAGAGCUCCGAGAGUAAGGACACCUCCUUGGAGACUAGACGCCAGUUAGCCUUGAAGGCAUUCACUCAUACGGCACAAUAUGAUGAAGCAAUUUCAGAUUAUUUCAGGAAACAGUACAGCAAAGGCGUAUCUCAGAUGCCCUUGAGAUAUGGAAUGAACCCACAUCAGACCCCUGCCCAGCUGUACACACUGCAGCCCAAGCUUCCCAUCACAGUUCUAAAUGGAGCCCCUGGAUUUAUAAACUUGUGCGAUGCUUUGAACGCCUGGCAGCUGGUGAAGGAACUCAAGGAGGCUUUAGGUAUUCCAGCCGCUGCCUCUUUCAAACAUGUCAGCCCAGCAGGUGCUGCUGUUGGAAUUCCACUCAGUGAAGAUGAGGCCAAAGUCUGCAUGGUUUAUGAUCUCUAUAAAACCCUCACACCCAUCUCAGCGGCAUAUGCAAGAGCAAGAGGGGCUGAUAGGAUGUCUUCAUUUGGUGAUUUUGUUGCAUUGUCCGAUGUUUGUGAUGUACCAACUGCAAAAAUUAUUUCCAGAGAAGUAUCUGAUGGUAUAAUUGCCCCAGGAUAUGAAGAAGAAGCCUUGACAAUACUUUCCAAAAAGAAAAAUGGAAACUAUUGUGUCCUUCAGAUGGACCAAUCUUACAAACCAGAUGAAAAUGAAGUUCGAACUCUCUUUGGUCUUCAUUUAAGCCAGAAGAGAAAUAAUGGUGUCGUCGACAAGUCAUUAUUUAGCAAUGUUGUUACCAAAAAUAAAGAUUUGCCAGAGUCUGCCCUCCGAGACCUCAUCGUAGCCACCAUUGCUGUCAAGUACACUCAGUCUAACUCUGUGUGCUACGCCAAGAACGGGCAGGUUAUCGGCAUUGGAGCAGGACAGCAGUCUCGUAUACACUGCACUCGCCUUGCAGGAGAUAAGGCAAACUAUUGGUGGCUUAGACACCAUCCACAAGUGCUUUCGAUGAAGUUUAAAACAGGAGUGAAGAGAGCAGAAAUCUCCAAUGCCAUCGAUCAAUAUGUGACUGGAACCAUUGGCGAGGAUGAAGAUUUGAUAAAGUGGAAGGCACUGUUUGAGGAAGUCCCUGAGUUACUCACUGAGGCAGAGAAGAAGGAAUGGGUUGAGAAACUGACUGAAGUUUCUAUCAGCUCUGAUGCCUUCUUCCCUUUCCGAGAUAACGUAGACAGAGCUAAAAGGCUUAAUCAUGAGAAAAACAUCAGAUAUAACCUAGCCGAAGGACUUUACAAAAUACCUUCCUACUGUCAAGAUCAUCAAAAAGAGAAGCAUGAGAAACUUUCAUGCCUAGAAGGGCCUAAGGAGAUGUGAUAUCAAGGCUUUAAGCAAGAUUCAGAUGAAGGGCCUGCUUUACCAGCUCACCUAUGAAUAUGGAAGCAUCAGCUUACUUUUUGCAGCACAUGUGUCUCAGGGGGUUGUCCCUUCCCACAGUGUGUAGAUUGGCAUCGAGAUGACGUUCUCUCUCCAGGGUGCAGUGAUGACCGACAUAUGCAGUGACAUGGUAGCCUGUCACCUGGCCGGAGAUGGCAUGGGAGAUGGAAACGGGACCAAGCUGAGCCAGUGAGGCUCCUGCCUGAAGUUUUUACUGGAAAUGGGAGGACACACAUGUUCUCUUUCACUACUGUUCUUAAGCUGGCAGGGGGUAAAGCAAGCUCAUGGAGGUCAGUCAUCAAUGGCACCAUCAGCAGAGACCCCGCUGAAGCACGAAGCCAGUGCAUGGGAAGGCACGCGGAGCAAGAGGGAGUCCGGGCGCCAUUGCUGGAGCAGCCCCUGAAGCCGGUGGGUCCUGGGACUGUUCCAUUGUGUGGGCCAUUUUUGCUUGAGUUGGACUUUUUUCUUACAACUAAAAUGCAGCCCUAAAUAAUACAGUCACUUUCUUUUUUAUAUUAGAAUUUAAAUAUUUUAGACAUAUUUCUCUGUUUAAGCACAUAUGCCCCUUAAUACCUAACACAAUACCAGUGACUACCUCCUUACAGAAUCACUGAAUCUUGCUUUCAUAUGAGAAAGUGAACAGUUUCCACUCCUGUCUUAAAUGUUUCAUUUAGCACUUGAGAAUAGAAUAAGUGUCGCACAUGAAAGGUUUCAUGUGCAUAAAUAAUGAGAAGAUGCUGAAGUGAGACCAAAAUCAACUUCCCAGCAAAUUCAUUCUCCAUCACACAAUUUCAUACCAGAAUGACUGAGUUCUAAGGUCAUACAAUCACAGUCGUUGUAAGUGUUAAUGGGAGAGAGAGAGAGAGAGAGACAGAGAGAGAUACUGAAUUCAAUCUAAAUUCCAAUCUCCAAUUCUCCUCCAUCAGAAUUGGGAGCACCUCCCUCCCCAUGUAAUCACUGGGGGUGAAACAAGAUCAUAGUAGUUUCCAUGGGCUGCCCCUGGUGGAGCCAAGACAGGCCCCUGAACACCCCUGCUGCCAGAUUAAUUUUCCCAAAGACUAUUUUCCAUCAUGUUUCUUUGCAUCUUGGAUACCUGUAAUUGGUUAAUGCAUUUGGCAUUAACCAAUGAGUCUCACCCUUGAGUGUGAAGCAUGCCCCUCACCCACCAGGAUUUGGGGAGUUGCUGGGAGGGCAUGUCUUCGUUGAAAACAAAGGGCUGUCACAUUCCAUUGCUUUUGAGUUACACAUAAUUUCAUUUUGAAAUUUGAAAUCAUAUUAGAGAAAGGCUUAUUAUUUUUUGUUAUACUGGGCAUAUUUUAGAAAUGGUUGAGAAGUACUGGCUUAAAUAAUGGGUUGCCAAGGCCCUCCAUAAGCCACUUCUUCCCAUCUAUUUUCUUACCAGAAGACAGCAGGCAGAGGGUUGGCUCACCAAAGCCCACCUGGGCCAGCUCCUUUCUAUCCCAGGGGGUGUGUCUCUCUGCUUUCUCCCCUCCCAACUAAACCUUAGUCAUCGUAAACCUCAGCCAGUUCAUGCUUCUCUUUCUUGCUAAUUCCAGCCUACCCAGAACUGUAUUUGUCAGACCCACUUAGAACUUAAUUAGCUUGACUUUGAAAUGUAUGCUAAUUUAACAUCUUCAACUAUAUCAUUAAGAGCCAAGCCAUUUCUCAUUUCCUCUGUUUUUCCUAUACUACUUAGCACAGUGCUAGACCUAUAACAAGCAUCUGUUCUGAAUCAAGAGAGAGGUUAAAAGAAGUGGCAUUUUCUUACAUCUGAGAUAUUAUUCAAAAUAUUUAACAACGUUGCCAUGGGACACCUGUCCAUCAGAAUGGAGUUGGAGGCCUAGAGCUACACUGCACUUAACACUUUGCUGAAAAAUAGAAGCAGCCUGAGAAUAGUAGGGGAGGGGAGGGUCUCAGGCUGCCCAGGAUGGGGAGAACCGGCUGAAAUGAAACACAUUCUAUUUACCACUAAUUAAUUUGAAUAGUAUCUCUGCUUCACUAUUUUUCAGUGUAAAUAGUAUCUCUGACAUGCUAGGGAGCUUAGGAAAAUGAUUCUAACAUCAUAUAAAUGACAGGUGUUGCUAUUAAGAAUGACUCAAGACUUGUGUUUUUGGUACUCUACAUGCCAUUCAUUCAUUCUUUCUACUAAGAGUAAUAGAAAGAAUGAAUGGCAUGUAAGGUAGACAUAGAGCUGCUCUAGAGCUCUAUGUCAGCAGUUGUAUGCCAACAGGAAAUGUGGUAUUUUAAUACUUCCGAAGGGUCUCUGCCCCUCCUGUGUGUACGACACAUCCUUGCAGGAGCCCACCCUUUAUCUUAUCUAACUUGUAGGGAGCCUGGCACAUCCAGUCUUACCCGCUGGCCUCCAAAGCAUGUGCAGGAGCAAAUGGCACCGAGAUAUUCCUUCUGCCACUGUUCUCCUACGUGGUAUGUCUUCCCAUCAUCAUAACACGUUGCCUCAUCUGCAUAUAGACACAAGACAGAUGCACGCAUAAGCUGAGAACAAUACUGCAGACUUGAUCUAGGGGUGGGUUCUAUUUCUGUCCUAAAUUUGUAUCAUCACAGCGCAAACACCACAUAUUUAUGUGAAUCAUCCCUAAGAGCAGUACUGCUAUACAGAUCUUAGGGUGGCACUUCCAAAAAUUAGACCUAAUACACUGGAAAGGGUCCAACGGGAAGAUGGAAAUCAUAUUUUAAAAGUUGAAUCUACAGACCAAUAAAGCUUCUUUGUAGCAUUUUACUGCAGAUAAUGGUCAAAAUACUCAGGUUGGACAAGUGCUAAAGUGUCCUGUAAUAACAUUAAAUCAUGACUCAUUUUUGAAGCUUGUCUCCACUUUCCCAAAUCAAAAGAUUAAGAAACCCACUGUUCACUCCUCAAGGAGACCUAAAGUCUCCAAUCAUUUCUGUGAAUGAGAGUUACAGCCUGAUAAUGAAAGUGAGAAUGCUUAAUAAGGCACUAAAAAUGAUCUGUGAUGACAUACGAGGGUCACACUUGAAUUCUCCUUUUCCGUUCCCAAGACAUGUGCAGCUCAUCAUCUGGCCAUUUUCUCCCUGACGGUCCCACUUCUCUCCAAUCUUGUAGUUCACACCAUUGUCAUGGCACCAUCCUGUAGGGGUGGGGAAAGUCAGGACCAAAAAGUUAUUUGUAUAUUCUGACUCACAAGACAGUAGGUGAACUGGGACGUGUCACAGGGUCUUCAGAACCAUGAUCUGGAAAAAUAGCAAGUUAAAGAUAAAAACCCCUAUAAUGGGCCAUUUAUUUUAUUUAUUUAUUUACUUUUUAUUUUUUUUUUUUUUUUUGAGACAAAGUCUUUCUCUGUCGCCCAGACUGGAGUGAAGUGGUGCAAUCUCGGCUCACUGUAACCUCCAUCUCCUGGGUUCAUGCAGUUAUCCUGCCUCAGCCUCCUGAGUAGCUGGGAUUACAGGCACUCCCCACAGUGCUAUUUUUUUUUUUUUUUUUUUUUUUGUAUUUUUUGUAGAGAUGGGGUUUUACCAUGUUGGGUAGGCUGGUCUCAAACUCGUGAGCUCAGGUGAUCCACCCGCCUCAGCCUCCAAAAGUGCUGGGAUUACAGGUGUGAGCCACCACACCUGGCCAAUGGGCCAUUUCUUUGGUUGAAUUUUAAAAUAUUAUUUUUUAUCAUUUACCAUUUUCUAGGGCAUUUUAAGACCCAAUUUAUUCUGCCACAAUCAUGUCAUCAGAAUAGUCAAAUGAAAUGACUUUCAUUUGAAUUCUCACUAUUAAGAUUUAAAAUUGUGGAAAACUAAAGUGGGAUUGGAGUAGACUGUUAGGAAUAGAUCCUAGAUGAAAAAUCACUUUUGGAUUUGCAGAAACCCUGGAUACAAAGUAGUUCAAUUAACCAUAAAACAAGGAUCAGCUGAUCUCUACACGCCACCACCUGUUUCAUGUACAUGGGAAGAGUAAAAAAUGAACCCGGAUAAAAUAAAACAAAAGCAAACAAAAUGCUAAAUCAUUGGUUAUUAUCCACAUCAAAUAAGUCUGGUUCUGUGGAAUAUCUAAAAGUCACAGUUUUAUGCCUUUAACUACUAUACAUAAGGGAUGACUUUUUAACCUCCAGGGCUUAUACAACAAAACACACCUCAGAAGCUUAUAUAACAAUAUACUACUUUUUCCAUUUUAUCAACAAUUCAGCCUGCCUUAAGCUACAAAGUAAAAUAAUUAGACAACUGUGAUAUCAAAACAAAGAUUAUGUAAGUUGAGCCAAAGAGUCACAUAAAUGAACUUGACAUCCCCGCUCCCACAAUUGCACCUAAGUGCUCAAACAGGUAAUAAACAUACAAACUUAAACGUAGUUCGAUUUCAGGAGUUAAAAACCAUCUACUUGAAGUCAAAUAUUAAAAUUUCCAGCUCCUAAACAGCAUGUGAUGUUUUUAGUGUUUUUCAUUUUCAGAUGGUCAAACAUGGAAGUCUAUAUUGAAAACACUGGCUGGCUUUUACAACUUCAGUCUGGAUUAAAUGAUUUCAAGUAUACAAGUUAAGUAAAAUACUUUGAAAAUCUCUUUUACCAAGUCUUAUAUUCUAAUUCCACAGGAUAUGAUUUCUGUAUGUCUAUAGGAGGCUUAUUUAUAGGCAUAACGGUCAACACCUAUAAAAAUGAACCAAUUGUCAAUAAUCAUCACAUCUCCUAAACACAAAGAAUAAAUGAAAGGUUUAUAAAUUCUAAUCCUAAUCUCAAAGCAUAAUAGAUAUUUCCUAGGCACAUUUUAACUUAAAAAAUUUGAAAAUUAAAACGUAUUAGAAUUUGAAAAUCAAACAUUUAUCAAUUCAAGUUGAUUUUUAAUGAUCUAAAAGCAGAUUAUCUGUUUUUUCUUUCAUAUUUCUAGCAACGUUCAAGCUACCUGGGCUAUGUGUGUGACGCAAAAGUGUGUGCAUGGGUACUAUGAUAUGUGCAUGUUUGGUUUAUGUUGAAGGAGGCUGUUUUUGAGUCUAAAUGUUCACCUCUGAUCUCAUUCAACACUGAAGAUUAAAAGAGAUUUGAGGUUUUUCUGUGUCUCUAAUACUCUUAAAUAGACCUGGUUCCAAAAGUCUUUAUCCAUUUGUUUUCACAGAAAAUUUCAAAAAUCAAAUUAGCACCAUAAUCUUAUGUGUAAUUAAUAGUUGUAUUGGCAUACAACCCUUGAAAUGAAGCAAUGUCCAACAAGUAAAAUUUCCCAUCAUUUUUCUAUGAUGCAAAAUAUUACUUCGAGUCAAACAGUAUUCUCUUGUUUGCUUCAUGUUUGGAAGAACCUGUGUCUUCCAAACAUGCUUCCUUGGCACAUGAGUGCAUGCAUGGAACUUGAGGAGACAAACACGGAAGUGGAUGGACAAAGCAACUACUCACUAGAUGAAUCACAUCUGAAAUGACCACUUCCAAAGCCUAAGCACUGGCACAACAGUUUAAAGCCUGAUUCAGACAUUCGUUCCCACUCAUCUCCAACGGCAUAAUGGGAAACUGUGUAGGGGUCAAAGCACGAGUCAUCCGUAGGUUGGUUCAAGCCUUCGUUGACUAUGAAGAAAAGGAAGAAAAAGCAAAAAGAGACAUCUUAUUAAUCGAUUUGGACCAUAAGAAGAAAAUCGAAUGACUGUAUACAAUGACUUAAUCUAAAACAAGAAUUCCAGGAGGAUUAAGAGGCAUUCAUCUGUUCUAUCAAGGCAUUAACUGCUCUAAAAAACCAUGGUUAGAUGUGACACCUGUCACAGGCACCCGACAGGAAGCCCAUCUUUUAUUUUUCCCUUGCUUCUAAGAUAAUUGCCAUUUCUGUUGAAACUACUUCAUAGAACAUGGAACAGAUCUUGAGGCAAUUGAAGCUAGUGGAGAACUUUAGUGGGAUGCAAAGACUAAUGAUGCCUCUCCAUUGGUACCUGAGUGACCUUGGGCCAGCUAUUUAAUACCACUCUGCCUUGCUUCCCUCAUCUGCAAUACUAGCGUAAUAAUAAAAAUAUCUAUACCUCCUGGGGAAUCUUGUGAAGAUUAUAUAAGGCCAUGAAUUCAAAACAUUGACCCUUUUCCAAGACUUAGAAAAUGUUCACUAAAUAAAGAAUAAUUAUUAAAGGCUGUCUUUUGCUUAUAA